UACGAAGGGGGCUAGCGUUGCUCGGAAUUACUGGGCGUAAAGGGCGCGUAGGCGGCACUGUUAGUCAGGCGUGAAAUUCCUGGGCUCAACCUGGGGACUGCGCUUGAUACGGCAGAGCUUGAGGAUGGAAGAGGGUCGCGGAAUUCCCAGUGUAGAGGUGAAAUUCGUAGAUAUUGGGAAGAACACCGGUGGCGAAGGCGGGUCGCCUGGGUCCAUUACUGACGCUGAGGCGCGAAC
rnacentral:rRNA from 1 species